AGAUGGAAUAAAGAUUCGGAGGAGAGAAGAAGGGGAUAUGGUGAUGAAGAGAAUAAAGGGUUGGGAGUGGAGGGUGACAGACAGUGAACAGAAUAAAAGGUUGGGAGUGGAGGGUGACAGACAGUGAAGAGAAUAAAGGGUUGGGAGUGGAGGGUGACAGACAGUGAAGAGAAUAAAGGGUUGGGAGUGGAGGGUGACAGACAGUGAAGAGAAUAAAGGGUUGGGAGUGGAGGGUGACAGACAGUGAAGAGAAUAAAGGGUUGGGAGUGGAGGGUGACAGACAGUGAAGAGAAUAAGAGGUUGGGAGUGGAGGGUGACCGACAGUGAAGAGAAUAAAGGGUUGGGAGUGGAGGGUGACAGACAGUGAAGAGAAUAAAGGGUUGGGAGUGGAGGGUGACAGACAGUGAAGAGAAUAAAAGGUUGGGAGUGGAGGGUGACAGACAGUGAAGAGAAUAAAGGGUUGGGAGUGGGGUGACAGACAGUGAACAGAAUAAAAGGUUGGGAGUGGAGGGUGACAGACAGUGAAGAGAAUAAAGGGUUGGGAGUGGAGGGUGACAGACAGUGAACAGAAUAAAAG